rnacentral:rRNA from 1 species
AAGGCUUCAGUACGACCCAGUCAGAACUAUAAGUCUCAAAGCCCCGACGAGUAGGGUGGCGUGCCGGUGCGCGUUGAAGGCCAAGACGUGAGUCAGGCUGGAGCCGCCGGUAGUGCAGAUCUUGGUGGUAGUAGCAAGUACUCUGGUGAACCAACCUGGAGCUGUGAGGUCUGGAUCAGGGUUCCAUGUCAACAGUGAUUGAACAUGGGUGAGUCGAUCCUAAGCCAACUGUGAAAGCAGUGACAUCCCGACAAUGGGGCAUUACGUGCGCCGCACUUACACCCCCAUACCAAAGCUCUCGAGUAUCUUUCUCUCAGGCUGCAGGGUACCAAAAAAGCGCACACACGCUGAUCACUACGAGAGUAGAUGUGAGUGUGUGCGCGGCUAUAGAUGCGCUCUUUAGCGUAGGCGACAACAAAAAAGAGAGAGAGAGAAAGAGAGUGGGUGAGCGUGAGAUAAUGUAAUUGCAUGGCCCCUGCGUCUGGUUCUAUGUCUGGCGAAAGGGAAUGGGGACUUUGUUCCUUGACCGGUCCCGGCACCCUCGAUUGGCUCUGCCAAUUAAUGGUCCAUGCAAAUGGAACCAGGCCACAGCCGCCGGCAGUCGCCCGAGGAAGAGUUUUCUUUUCUGCUUAACGCACGAGGUCAUCCCUGGAAACAGUUCGGCUGGCGAAAGGGUGCCCCGUUGCGGCAGAGCGCCACGACUGUCGUGCGCGUCUCGGUGUUCCUGCCGGUCCGUGAAGACGUGGUCGAGGGGAUUGCUCUUGUAUCAACGAAACGCCCGACAAGUUCGGGACGGACCGUACCCUAUAUCCGCAUCUGGUCUCCAAGGUUCGUAGCCUCUGCARAGUCAGACACAUGUARGUAAGGGAAGUCGGCAAACUCGAUCCGUAACUUCGGGAAAARGAUUGGCUCUGAGGGCCGAGCUGGGCCGGGCCUUGCCUGCAAAGCAGUACCUAU